AUGCCGCUGGAACUGCGCCUGGAACUUGCGCGGCCGCCUCCGCGAGUUCAACAGCUGGUGUUCGAUUUCACCCCACUGCGCACAGCCCCAGGGCAUGCUAGCUGAUAUCGCGGGAUAAAUCAAAAGUGCCAGGCACAAGAGGUUAAAAGGAUUUCCUCGCGCGCUCCCAACAUUUAGCGCACAAGUGGAAUAAACAGGUCUGCUGACUUGCAGUAUCCAUCCAUUAAGUGUUAAGAGAGGAAAACAGGAGCCACUCACUUAGACUUAUACAUCAGCUGAGCACAUGCAGAGCUGUGUACUGCUGAAACAACAUAAUCAGCGGCCUUAGGACACAGCAGCUGGCUGCAUCUCUCCCCAACAAAAGUUAUUAUUGUUUCUAGAAGAAAACAACAAAUCCUGGCAUGAGUAACCAGUUAAGUAUGAAGAUGGCUCCCAUAAUCUUUCCCCAACAUGGAGGCAAUCGAUUUUGACUAUUCUCCCCUGUGUAGCCCCCAAGCUGCUUUUGAUGCCCCUUGCCAAACCUCUACAACAAAUUUAAUGAGGGGCUUAGGAAGGGAGAGGAAGAAUCACCAAAAAUUGCUUCCUCCUUGUUCCACUGACGGAAACCUUAUAAUGAGCAGAGUGACACUGUUGGAUACAACUCUCUGACUCUUCCUUUCUAUAUGGUGAACACUGUGCUUCAUGGUUCAAAGUCAAACAUUUUAAAAACACUGGUCAAAUCUGAAACAAAACUUUCAAACAUACAUGCCAUUCUUAGAUGUGCUCUAACAACCCAGCCUCUCAAAGACUCCUGAAAAUAUUGCCUUUAAAACCAAGGUAAGUUCAGCAACUGAAUUCCACCGCAAGAGCCAAACAUUUUAACCUAAAUGUUACAGGUUUGUUCUAUACCGCAGAAAAUAUCCUACCUUUUAGGAGAUAAGCAAUUGCCACAACAGCCUUUAAUAUUAAGUGUAAGCAGCUUCAAGGAAGUGAUGUAGGGGGCGCAGCUGUUCCUUAUUACUGAAGUUUUUUAUUAGUUAUAAAUUUUGAGGACACUUUCGUAGUGCCUUGUUAGUUUAUAUUGUGUUGGAUGUUGUUUCUGCUUUAUGUGAAAUUGUACAAUUUAAAAUGCAAAUAAAGAAAAUCAAUUAAAGACUC